rnacentral:lncRNA from 1 species
CGGCAACUGUCUUCAGCAGCAUUAGCUGUUUUGCCCAGUGUCUAUAGAAGCUGUCUUUGGAUGACUCACUCUGCUUGCAGUUGAGCAAUAAGAGUGUAACAGAACACAUCUCCUAUUCUUCACUCACCUGCCUUUUCCUCACUACCUGACCUCCCUCUGCUGUGGCACAUUGCUAUAUCGAAACCGAAGGGCCUCCACUGACAUUUGUUGUCCAAGGUAAGACCAACUAGCAAAACACUAAUUUCAGUUUGUUGGGGUUUUGAAUCCAGGGUUUCCUCAGCGCCCCCCGCCGCCGCCGCCGCCACCACCACCACUGUUCCUUCUUAGUACUGUAUUGAUGUUUGACCAACAGUUGAUGGUUAGAAGGCAUACAAUGCGCAGCGUCAGUUCCACACAAUAGUUUUGUCUGAUUGCAGCAACACAUUGCCAUGUCAUGUUAAGUACCAGGCUCAGAGUCCAGGAGAAGAUGAAGUUUAGCAGAGGAGCCUCCAUAUUCUAAGCAACUUCAGCAAUUAAUCAAAUUAUUUUGUUUCCUUUUCUAUCUUUCCCAUCACCCUCUUCUCUGAGCUGUAUUUGGUAUUUGUCCAGUCAGUUACGACAACUGACAUGUCAGAUGUUGGUGACAUGCAAUCAAUCAUCAAAUAUUGAAAGUUUCAGGUAGAACAGUAACAGAAGCUGAGAAUUGUAAAUAAAUUCCAGAAUUCAGCUCUUCCUACAACCUUUACAAAACAUCAUACCAAAUCAUGUGUCCUCUCAUUUCUACAACAAAUACAGCGAAUGAUGAGACCUCUUCCUAGGCACUUGUGUAGGAUUGCCAACUUUUGUUUAUAAGCUAAAUCUGGUACCUCAAUAUAAAAAUUUACAGUUUAUUGGUCAUGGAAAGCUUAGACCAUUACUUCCACGAAUCAGAAUCUGUUUAUUGAAGAAGUAGUUCCUUCUAGGAACAGGUGCUUGCAGUCCUGCAAUUAAGAUAAUCACUCUUCCGAUCUUCACACCUGAACUAUCAGUUUCCAAGAGCCUUUUAAAGGCGCAGAGGAUUAGAACUCCCCACGAUCUGUCUAAAGGUCAGGAAGAUUAACACACCAAAGCACAUUCAGUACUCUCCAACAAAAUUGUGAUCUUUUGACUCCAAAACACAGACACUCCUUUACAAGGGUGCUAAUGGAGUGGUCCCAUGUAUCUCAUAGUGCAGGUCUCUCUCCCUGGCAAGCCAUGAUUUUCAGCUAUUCAGUGCUGAUAAUCUCAAGAGUUGUCCAAAUUUCUAGGCAUGAUUGGGAGAGCUCCUGCAUCAGCAGCGUUGCUAAGUUGGUAGUCUUUGUGAAUCUGGGUGUUGACAAUUAUGGUUUGCUAUACCAUGAAGGUGAUGUGCAAAGAAACCGACUUGCCAGUUCUCUGAAAUUUUAAGGUUGAUAUCACUCCUUAGGAAUUCGCUUUCUUACGAUUCACUUGCCAUUAUACAAAACAGCUGUAUCUUGAUGAAACUUUAGAAAAUUUGUCAAGCUGUCAUGGAUGGUGUUUACUAUAUCAAAUAAGCAUUUUGCAAGAGAGCUCCUCUGCAUGUUAAUGAAACCUUCCAAAACUUGGACUGUUAAAUCAAAAGUGCUUUUUAAAGGACACUGGUAUUUUUUCAAGUGGCCUGGUAUUUCCUCUGCACAGUUUUGCAUUUUAAAUCAUUGCUUCCACUGGAAGUAUUUAAGAAUUAAUUCAACAUACUACAAAGCUGUUCACCAAAUAUAUUGCCACUCAUGGGAUAUAGCAGCCUCAAUUCCACAAUAAACUUCUACCUGUAAGUAAUCAAGUGUUCUCUCGUUAGAUAAUAAUACUUCCCCAGGUGUCCAAUCUGAUUUAACCUGUUUCAUCCCAGUCUCCAGAAAGAUUUGAGUAUAGCUUUAUGUUCUGAAUUAUUUGUUUUAUGCUGCUGCAUAAUAACUUACGUAACUGUGGCUGUUUUUAUUGAUUUUCACAUUUUAUUUACUUUCUCAUCAGGUGCAUUGUGCAUCCAAGAAGUGGUGUAUGGUCAUAGUCUCAUUGCUGAGCAAAACUUAGUGGAGUCGGAGGCCAGCCAAUCAGAAUUGUCUCUGACACGUACUUGCCUGUGGGCAGAGUCAGCAUCCAAAGUAAGUUGCAGUCCUAGGGUCAGACAAACAACAAUCCAUGUGGUCAGACGGUCCAGGGGUUAGGAAAUCCGAUGAUCAGGGAGUCAAGGAUCAAGACAAGCAGGAAGCAGCAAGGUAGGACCAGGAACUACAAGCAUUGUUAACAGCUUCUAACUGCUGCUGGGAGCUCUGCUUAAGAAGGCUGAAGCCUGCUGGUUCUCAUCAGCACCUUCUCUCCUGUGCCUUUGACGGCUGAUCAGCUGCAGGUGGAGUCACUCCCCCUUCUCCCCCUUCAGGCUGCUUGUUCAGCAGGCGAAGCUGACUCCUCGCCCAUAACACAUAUCAGUAUGAUAUAAAUAGAAAUACGCAAAUACGG